UACGUAGGGCGCAAGCGUUGUCCGGAAUUAUUGGGCGUAAAGAGCUCGUAGGCGGCCUGUUGCGUCCGCUGUGAAAUCCCGGGGCUUAACCCCGGGCGUGCAGUGGAUACGGGCAGGCUGGAGGCAGGCAGGGGAGAACGGAAUUCCCGGUGUAGCGGUGAAAUGCGCAGAUAUCGGGAGGAACACCGGUGGCGAAGGCGGUUCUCUGGGCCUGUACUGACGCUAAGGAGCGAAAGCGUGGGGAGCGAACAGG
rnacentral:rRNA from 1 species